UGGGGAAUAUUGCACAAUGGGGGAAACCCUGAUGCAGCGACGCCGCGUGAACGAAGAAGGUAUUCGUAUCGUAAAGUUCUGUCCUAUGGGAAGAUAAUGACAGUACCAUAGAAGAAAGCUCCGGCUAAAUACGUGCCAGCAGCCGCGGUAAUACGUAUGGAGCGAGCGUUGUCCGGAAUUAUUGGGCGUAAAGGGUACGCAGGCGGUUUAAGAAGUCGAAUGUUAAAGAUCGGGGCUCAACCCCGUAAAGCAUUGGAAACUGAUAAACUUGAGUAGUGGAGAGGAAAGUGGAAUUCCUAGUGUAGUGGUGAAAUACGUAGAUAUUAGGAGGAAUACCAGUAGCGAAGGCGACUUUCUGGACACAAACUGACGCUGAGGUACGAAAGCGUGGGGAGCAAACAGG
rnacentral:rRNA from 1 species